CCUACGGGUGGCAGCAGUGGGGGAUAUUGCACAAUGGGGGAAACCCUGAUGCAGCGACGCCGCGUGGGUGAAGAAGCGCCUCGGCGCGUAAAGCCCUGUCAGCAGGGAAGAAAAUGACGGUACCUGAAGAAGAAGCCCCGGCUAACUACGUGCCAGCAGCCGCGGUAAUACGUAGGGGGCAAGCGUUAUCCGGAUUUACUGGGUGUAAAGGGGGCGCAGGCGGCGAUGCAAGCCAGGAGUGAAAUCCCGGGGCCCAACCCCGGGACUGCGCUUGGAACUGCGUGGCUAGAGUGCAGGAGGGGCAGGCGGAAUUCCUGGUGUAGCGGUGAAAUGCGUAGAUAGCAGGAGGAACACCGGUGGCGAAGGCGGCCUGCUGGACUGCAACUGACGUUGAGGCCCGAAAGCGUGGGGAGCAAACAGGAUUAGAUACCCCAGUAGUC
rnacentral:rRNA from 1 species